AGAGUUUGAUCCUGGCUCAGAUUGAACGCUGGCGGCAUGCCUUGGCACAUGCAAGUUCGAACGGCAGCACGGGGAGUAAUCCUGGGUGGCGAGUGGCGAACGGGGUGAGUAAUACAUCGGAACGUGUUCCUGGUAUGUUGGGGGGGAUUGCCCCGGGCGCAAAGCCCGGGAAUUAAUUUCCCCCAUUAUCGCCCCCUAACGCGGAGAGGAAAAGGGGGGGGGGGAUUGUUAUUCUUACCUACUCUCUNGCCUACCGGGGCGGCGNGCGCAUGUGGACAAUAUUACCUAUAUUUUGGUGUGGGGGUUAGAGAGGCCCUACCCANGGGCCGAACCGAAUCUUGUUAAGCCUGGGUUCUUGGAAGAAGGGAAACGAACCCCAGGCCCCACCACCCUGGGGGGAAACCUUGAAAGAAAACACCCGGGGGCCCCCCCAAGAA
rnacentral:rRNA from 1 species